GUUAAGAAAAGGGGGACUUGCCACCAUCACAGUGAUCCCCAUCAGCAACUGACCCCACUGAUCUGGUGGGUUCUGCCAAGACCGGCAGGGUAAACAAACAGGUACCACUCUCUCCCGGGAACCCUUUCUUCUGUUGUCUGGGAGAGCAUCUAGGAAGCCUUAAGGAAAAGCUACCUGUGUCAACAAUAUGAAGAGGAUUUAACAAGCUGACCAAUAAACUCAGACUCUUUUGAUAGGACUGGACCUCCUCUCUAUCGUUUUAUCAGUUAGGGAAAUGACCUUUUGCUGACCUUUGGGUAACUGAUAAUAUCCUCAGGAGAAGGCAGCAUUUAAUACUUCUCCACCAGGCUUGCGCCUGUGGUUUUACCUUAUUUUUUUUUUUAAAUCUAUACAUGGGAAAAAAUCGAAUGCCAGAUUUGAUCUUUUAAAAAGAAAAAAGAAUGCGAUAUGUGUGUGUGUGUGUGUGUGUGUGUGUGUGUGUAACCAGUGACUCCCUAGGGCACUGCAGCCUUCCAGUUCGCUUACCACAUUUCUGAUAGCAUGCCUAGACGGGUGUGAAUGUGACCUACAUCUUACGACAGUUCAGCAGUGUCCCCCAUCCCCUUCUUGACAGCACCCAUUUCUGAGUUGCACGGUUAGGCAUUAAGCGUAAGGUAAUUGUCAGGCUUGGGGCAGGGGGCAGUGAGCUCAGUGGUGGAGCUUGCUUGUGGGGCUCUGAGUUUGUCCCAAACAAACAAAGCAAUGGGUGAAUUGUCUGUAAUCUCUGACCACAUCACUGUCGCUCUUUAUAAGAAAUAGAACAGGAGAAGAAAACUGUAGGGAACAAAUGUGAAAACAAACAAACAAACAAAAAAACAAAAAACCCACAGUAGCGAAUAUGUGUUUCUACUAAACCCAGAAGAACAUGUGCAUUCAACUGUCACUGUGAAAUAAUUAUAUAUUUUACAAAUUAAUUAUUCCAAUAGCCAGUAUCUUACUGUGUUAUUAAACCUUAUCUUUUAGUAGU
rnacentral:lncRNA from 1 species